rnacentral:rRNA from 1 species
GACAGAGGGUGCAACCGUUGUUCGGAUUUACUGGGCGUAAAGCGCGUGUAGGCGGCUUGGCAAGUCGGAUGUGAAAGCCCACGGCUCAACCGUGGAAGCGCAUCCGAAACGGCCUCGCUCGAGUCUCGGAGAGGAAGGUGGAAUGCUUGGUGUAGAGGUGAAAUUCGUAGAUAUCAAGCAGAACACCUGCGGCGAAGGCGGCCUUCUGGACGAUGACUGACGCUGAGACGCGAAAGCGUGGGGAGCAAACAGG